rnacentral:rRNA from 1 species
UCCCAGACUCCUACGGGAGGCAGCAGUGAGGAAUAUUGGUCAAUGGCCGGAAGGCUGAACCAGCCAAGUCGCGUGAGGGAAUAAGGCCCUAUGGGUCGUAAACCUCUUUUGUCAGGGAGCAAAGGCGUCCACGAGUGGACGAAAGGAGAGUACCUGAAGAAAAAGCAUCGGCUAACUCCGUGCCAGCAGCCGCGGUAAUACGGAAGGUCCGGGCGUUAUCCGGAUUUAUUGGGUUUAAAGGGAGCGUAGGCCGGCUUUUAAGUCAGCUGUGAAAGUCCGCGGCUCAACCGUGGAAUUGCAGUUGAAACUGGAGGCCUUGAGUGCACACAGGGAUGCCGGAAUUCAUGGUGUAGCGGUGAAAUGCUUAGAUAUCAUGAAGAACUCCGAUCGCGAAGGCAAGUGUCCGGGGUGCAACUGACGCUGAGGCUCGAAAGUGCGGGUAUCAAACAGGAUUAGAUACCCCUGUA